ACAGCAGUCGCCACGGUAAUACGAAGGGUGCAAGCGUUACUCGGAAUUACUGGGCGUAAAGCGUGCGUAGGUGGUUGUUUAAGUCUGCUGUGAAAGCCCUGGGCUCAACCUGGGAAUUGCAGUGGAUACUGGGCAACUAGAGUAAGGUAGAGGAUAGUGGAAUUUCCGGUGUAGCAGUGAAAUGCGUAGAGAUCGGAAGAAACAUCUGUGGCGAAGGCGACUAUCUGGGCCAUUACUGACACUGAGGCACGAAAGCGUGGGGAGCAAACAGGAUUAGAUACCCCCGUAGUCCCUGUAUCUUAUAA
rnacentral:rRNA from 1 species